rnacentral:rRNA from 1 species
AUUGAACGCUGGCGGCAGGCCUAACACAUGCAAGUCGAGCGGAGCGGCGGACGGGUGAGUAAUGCCUAGGAAUCUGCCUUGUAGUAGGGGAUAACGUCCGGAAACGGGGGCUAAUACCGCAUACUAUCAGAUGAGCCUAAGUCGGCUUAGCUAGUUGGUGGGGUAAAGGCCUACCAAGGCAACGAUCCGUAACUGGUCUGAGAGGAUGAUCAGCCACACGGGAACUGAGACACGGUCCAGACUCCUACGGGAGGCAGCAGUGGGGAAUAUUGUGCAAUGGGCGAAAGCCUGACCCAGCCAUGCCGCGUGUGUGAAGAAGGUCUUCGGAUUGUAAAGCUCUUUAAGUUGGGAGGCGGUACCAACAGAAUAAGCACCGGCUAACUUCGUGCCAGCAGCCGCGGUAAUAC